rnacentral:misc_RNA from 1 species
CCCAGUAAAUCCGCUACACAAGAAACCAUGUUUACUCAAACACGAGCUAAUUAUAGAUCCAUCGACCUUAGGCGGUUCCGAUCGUUAGUCCAAAUCCGUCGUUUUUGCCGUGAUCAUAGACCUCGAGUCAGCUACUCAAAAAAGCCAACAAUUGUAAACAAGGUCGAGUGCUCGGCGCCCGUUGGGACGUUUCGAGAACAUCUUCGAAAUUCAAAUCCCAACGCCUUUCGUCAACUCCGGCGGAUAUAAAUAUAGCGAACAGGGUAGCGACGGA